UACGUAGGGUGCAAGCGUUGUCCGGAAUUAUUGGGCGUAAAGAGCUCGUAGGCGGUUUGUCGCGUCUGCUGUGAAAACUCGGGGCUCAACCCCGAGCCUGCAGUCGAUACGGGCAGGCUAGAGUUCGGUAGGGGAGACUGGAAUUCCUGGUGUAGCGGUGAAAUGCGCAGAUAUCAGGAGGAACACCGGUGGCGAAGGCGGGUCUCUGGGCCGAUACUGACGCUGAGGAGCGAAAGCGUGGGGAGCGAACAGG
rnacentral:rRNA from 1 species